GAAAUGCGAUAAGUAGUGUGAAUUGCAGAAUUCAGUGAAUCAUCGAAUCUUUGAACGCACAUUGCGCCCCUCGGUAUUCCGUGGGGCAUGCCUGUUCGAGCGUCAUCUACACCCUCAAGCUCUGCUUGGUGUUGGGCGUCUGUCCUGCCUCCUUCGCGCGCGGACUCGCCCCAAAUCCAUUGGCGGCGGCCCUUGCCUCCCUCUCGCGCAGCACAUUGCGCUUCUCGAGGCGCGGCGGACCGCGUCCAGCAAGCAACCGUCACACCGUCUUUGACCUCGGAUCAGGUAGGGAUACCCGCUGAACUUAAG
rnacentral:misc_RNA from 1 species